UAUGGUGAGCAGUUGAGUGUCGGUGGAAAAGUCUUCAAAUGCUGAGUGUAUGUGCUUUGAGAUUGUAUGAGCAACAGAGAUGGAAAAGUUGAGAAAGAGAGCCGAGACACACAGAGAGGGAAACAGAGUGAGUGAGUCGCGAGAAAUACAGAGAGGGUCGAGAUUGAGGAGAGAGAGAGAGAGCCGAGAGUUGUAGAGUAGGCCGGAGUCUGAGGCUUUGAUAAUCUAGCGAGAAAAAUUCUUUUUUUAAGGAUAUGGAUGGCAAGUGGUGGACGACACUCCUCCACAAGGUUCGAUGGUGUAUACUGUUGGGUAUCUCUUUCGAGGGCAACAAGGAACAGGCUUUGUCGCUUCUUCAUGCGACAGCAGAGGAGAGAGUAGGGGAAGUGAAGAAGAAGUCCAGAAGGAGGGGGAAAAGGAUGAACGUUCGUGGUCUAAAUGACCCAGAUAAGAGGAAAGUGGUGAAGUUGGCGGUGAGAAAGUAGGGGGCUCAUAUGGUGUGUUUACAAGAAACGAAGAUUGCCUCUUUGUCGAAUAGGGUGGUUAGGAGUCUUUAGGGAGGUAGGUUUGUGGAGUGGGUGGCAUUGGAUGCUACAAGAUCUUCUGGUGGUAUCCUCGUUAUGUGGGAUAGGAGAUUGUUGUCUCGAGUGGACAUUUGGAAAGGGAGGUUCUCUAUCUAUUGUGUGUUUAAUUUGGAGGACUAAGGUUUUAGAUGGGUUUUUUCUGGGGGCCAAUGGGUGAUGGUGAGAGAUAUCUCCUUUAGGAGGAGCUCAGUCUUGUAUAGGGGAUGUGGCCUCUUCCUUGGUGUGUUGAAGGGGACUUUAAUGCGGUCAGGUUUACGACAGAGAUCUUUUGGUAUGAGAUAGACAGUGGUUAUGUCACAGUUCUUGGAUUUUAUUAAUGGACACCAUCUUAUUGACUUACCUUUGGAAGGUGCGAUCUUCACUUGGUCUAACAACAGGAAUUUGCCCACUCUUUCCUGGUUGGAUAGAUUUUAUAUUUUUGGGGACUGAGAGGAGAAAUUUCUGGAUGUUGUUAAGGUAGCUUUGGCUAGGGUGACUUUAGAUCAUAUUCCGUUGGUCUUGGAUUAUGGGGGGUUGAGAUCUCAAAGAACGCCGUUCAGAUUUGAGCAUUAUAUCCAGUAAUAUCUAUAAUAUUGUAAUUCAUAGAGAAUAGUAUUGUAAUUUAAAAUUUUACAUUGUUUUGACCAUUAUAUCCAGUAAUAUCUAUAAUAUUGUAAUUCAUAGAGAAUAGUAUUGAAAUUUAAAACUUCUGUAAAAUAUGAUAGCAUUUAAUUUCCCUCCCCCCCCCCCCCCCUUUCUUUCAUCCAUUUUUUUACGGAUGAAAAUUUGUAAAGAAUAAAGAAUGACACAUCCCUCUUAUUAUCUUUUCUUUCCUUGUAUCAUUUCUACCGAACAAAGGAAGUUUGUUCAUUUCUUUCUAUUUUCUUUCCACACCUCGUCCUUCCUACCUACCAAACAAAGCAUAAGAUGUCUCAUCCAUUCAUCCCCUCUUCCCUUUGUCCAUUUUCCCAUCACUCUCACCAAGUAGAGCACUAGGCGACUUAGAAGGUCGCCUUAGGCCCCAACCAAUAAGAAGAUUGCAAAAAUUUUCAUUUCCUUAUAUAUUAUAACCUCUUUAAAAGAUUUAUUUCAUCUAUUAUUAAACCUCAACAAACAAAGAGAUUUAAUGGUGGGCAAGUGGUGCGGUGAGCCCGGGAAAAUGUAAAUUUUAUCUGUAGUUGGUGGAGAAACCAUUACUGGUAUGCCAUUCAACUCCAAUUUUGUUAUUCAGAAGCAUGUAAUGAAAUUUUUUUGAAAGCCUAAUUUAUUUAAUCAUUUUGUUUUAAGAAAAAACACAAAGUCCAGUCUUCUGAUGUUCGAUUUGGUUAUUUUUUAUUGUUUAAAACCAUACAUAUACUAUCUGUAAUGUGUUGUAUUAUGAUAGUAUUGUUAGUUACAAUAACUCAAUCCCAAUUGAUUUUUCGGUUAAUCGAUCUAAAUUUCAGUUUGGAUUAUUAUUUUUUAAACCUAAACAAUACAACGAAGAUUAAAUCAGGUAAUGUAUUAAAUACUUAUUGCUAUUCUUAAUUUUAGACCUAUAAUAUUUUGUAUUAAGGUGAUAUCAGGUAAAUGUAUUAAACAAUGCUUAUGUACUAUUCUUAAUUAUGGACCUCUAAUAUUUUUGUUUGUAGUGGCUGUUGUGUGUUACAAAUGCUAUAUGCGAUGAUGUAUUGUGCGUGGAAUUUCAAAGUUUAAAAAGCGAGCUUGGAAAAAAGUAACCCUUUUUACAGUCUACAAAUUUUACUAUAUUUAGUAUAAUAUGUUUGCUUCACUUGAGUAAUAUUAUUAUGCUAUUGUAUGCAUGUGAUGACUGCUGUGUAUUACAAAUGCUAUAUGGGAUGAUACAUUUUAAGUGGAAUUAAAGUCUAAAAAGUGAGCUUGAAAAAAGGCGACCCUUUUUUUUUACUGUCUCCAAAUUUUAUAAUGUUUAAUAUAAUAUUUUUACUUCAUUUGAGUAAUGUUAUUGUACUAUUGUGGUGGUUGUUAUGUGUUACAAAUUCUAUAUGGGAUUAUGCAUUUUGAGUGGAAUUUGAAAGUUUGAAAACUGAGCUUGAAAUAAGGUAACCUUUUUACUAUCUACAAAUUUUACAAUAUUUGGUAUAAUAUGUUUGCUUUACUUGGUUAAUGUUAUAGUGCUAAUGUGUGCAUGUGGUGGCUACUUAUUACAAAUGGGACUUGUCCCACAUCGGAUUUGGAUGGGAAAUGAAAUGAGUUUAAAUGGGUAGGUAUGCAACACUACCUAACAGUUUGAGCUUUUGGGUAAAUGAAUAAGCAUCCACCCAUAAUAGUUGAUAUCAGAGCCAGACUCAUUUCUUGAUCCGAUCCCACGCCAAGUGCCCGGCCGGGAAGGCGUUUGGAUGAGCCACCCGGGUAAGCAAGGUGGUCCGACCUCAAUGAGAGCGUUGCGCAGGUUUGGGUGGGAGAGAAUGUUACAAGUGGGACUUAUCCCACAUCGAAUUUGGAUGGAAAGUGAAAGGAGUUUAAUUAGUGAAUAUGCAGCACUACCCAACAACUUGAACUUUUGGGUAAUAAGCAAGCGUCCACUCAUUACGCUACUAUAACAAUUAAUCAUUUCAGUGUACUUAAUGUCAUUAUUUGCUAUUAAUGGGAAUUUUGUUUGAAUUUUUUUAUGGGAA